UAUCUCUGAGAUCAUUGGCUUGUUGGAAUAUUAAUCUUCUAACAUUGCCAUUUCAUGUCACACUCUAUUUUACCCUUUUUUUGUGGAUUUUUUUGUAGACUUGUAAAUGUGUUUGACUAUUAGCAUUACUUUUCCCCCCUCAUUAGAAGCCCAUUCUUCAUCAUGCUGUUUAUUAGUUUGUUAGAAUUGGGAGAUAUGUUACAAUAUGAAUGGGUUGAUGUUGAAUCCUAAAAUAGUGAGUACAUUUGGGGGGAAAAAGGAUCCCUGUCAUACCUUUAUUUAAGUGGAUUUCCCUGUUGAUCAGGAAAGUUUGACACUAUAAUACAGUAGAUGGCAAGAAAUGAAUGCCAGGGAUUUGAUGAUUUUGUUUGCUUGUGGAUGUUCUGAGUAUGAAUGCUUUGAAAACAUGUCCAUAGGGAGAUUUGAAAUCAUAAGCUUUCUUUAUAUUGCUGAUCAUUGAAGUACAUGUAUAACGUGAAGAUCAGCACAACCUUUAACAAGAGAAGAGAACUCUCUUCACUGGAGUUGCUUCUAGAAUUCUCUGCACUACUCUAGAAUCUCUGUGAUCUUAUACCAGAUCAUCAUCAUCAUUUUAGAGUUCUCCGUGAAAGAUAAGGUACAUGUGUGAAGAAAAAAAGAUGUGAGACUCUGCAUGGAGUAGGUCCCUAGGAGUGGAAGAGGAUUUUUAUAAGGGUUCAUUGAGGAGGUAUCUAGGUGUGAUAAAUGUCUUUGUAGGGUCUGUUGCUUUUUCUACUGCUGCUUUUGUUUUAGAAAGUGUUCCAUGCUUCUAGUGUACCAUUUGUGUGCCCCUUUUUAUUCAACAAUCAAAGCAAGUUGUUGAGGCACUGUGUUCUUUGUUGAGUAAAAAUUGCAGAA